GGGGCUGACCGGAAUUGACAGCAUCGUUCAUUGACAGGUAAGCAUGCCGAGCUUUGGUUUUUGGCUCGUUCAAACUAAUGACCGACACUCUUUUUAUACGGCGAGUAUAACUACGCCAUGGCAGCCUAAUUCAAGGAAUAAGGUAGCCUUAGCUUCUGCAGAAGUGUGCCUUGAUACAACUGCAGCAAGCUUCAUCUAAUCAGGGCUGGUGCUGCAUUGUUCCGCUGUGGCAUGAGAUCAAGGAACUAAGGAUAUCCUCAGGUAAGCAAUACCACCCUGGUUAUCCCUACAAACAAGGUAUUGCUGAGCAUGGAGAAAGCCUGAAAAUGCUUUGUCUGGACGCGGGUUCGAAUCCCGCC
rnacentral:tmRNA from 1 species